AUUCUCAACCUCUUUUCCCCUCUGCCUCUACCGUACACAGACUCCUCUCAUCUCUAAUCUAGACUAUGGUUCUACUCUUCUGAUAUUCUGACUCAAUUCUCUCCCUUCCUUAGUCAAUUCUUUAUAUUGAGGUCAAUAUCCACAUUCAAAAUGUAAAUCUGAAAUGGACUCCCGAUCCUGGAACACUGGGACAGAAUUCACAAAGCAACCUACCAUGAUUCAGAGCAGCUAACGUUCGCCGCCACCAACUAUAAAAUCCUCUCUUGAAAGCUCUAUUAACUUGACUACCUGAAGACCAACAGAGGAGAGGGGAAGGUCAAAGGAAAAUACAGGAUUGAGGACAAGGAGACAUUUUGUGAUUGAGUGAUUGAGAUACACUCCCACAGCUUUUAACCUCCAGAGUUGACAGGGGCAGGCUUUUAGGGGGCCUCGUGUCAAAACUAAGCAGAGGGUCCAUUAUUUCAGUAUUUAUAGUGCACAGCUUCUGUUAUCCAAAGAGAGAGUCAGUGGUUUGGUUUUGUAAAGGUUUUAUCAGCUGCUAACGUUUGCACAUCUAUAAAGUCGGGAUAUGCCCCCUGUAAGAAAAAAUCUGUGCGAGGCGCAAACAUAUCUCCCACUCCCUCCACUCCACUCCCCUGCCUUAUCUAAUAAAUAGCUUAUGUUUUGUCCUUGU